rnacentral:rRNA from 1 species
UACGUAGGGUGCGAGCGUGUCCGGAAUUAUUGGGCGUAAAGAGCUCGUAGGCGGUGUGUCACGUCGUUCGUGAAAACCUGCAGCUUAACUGUGGGCGUGCGGUCGAUACGGGCAUCACUGGAGUUCGGCAGGGGAGACUGGAAUUCCUGGUGUAGCGGUGAAAUGCGCAGAUAUCAGGAGGAACACCGGUGGCGAAGGCGGGUCUCUGGGCCGAUACUGACGCUGAGGCGCGAAAGCUAGGGGGAGCAAACGGG